rnacentral:rRNA from 1 species
ACGAACGCUGGCGGCAGGCUUAACACAUGCAAGUCGAACGGGAUCUUCGGAUCUAGUGGCGGACGGGUGAGUAACGCGUGGGAACAUGCCCAGCAGUACGGAAUAACAGCGGGAAACUGCUGCUAAUACCGUAUACGCCCUUCGGGGGAAAGAUUUAUCGCUGUUGGAUUGGCCCGCGUCCGAUUAGCUUGCUGGUGAGGUAAUGGCUCACCAAGGCGACGAUCAGUAGCUGGUCUGAGAGGAUGAUCAGCAUCACUGGGACUGAGACACGGCCCAGACUCCUACGGGAGGCAGCAGUGGGGAAUAUUGGACAAUGGGCGCAAGCCUGAUCCAGCCAUGCCGCGUGGAUGAUGAAGGCCUUAGGGUUGUAAAGUCCUUUUAACGGGGAAGAUAAUGACGGUACCCGUAGAAUAAGCCCCGGCUAACUUCGU